AUUGAACGCUGGCGGCAGGCCUAACACAUGCAAGUCGAACGAGUGGCGGACGGGUGAGUAAUGUCUGGGAAACUGCCCGAUGGAGGGGGAUAACUACCGGAAAAGGUAGCUAAUACCGCAUACCAUCGGAUGUGCCCACAUGGGAUUAGCUAGUAGGUGGGGUAACGGCUAACCUAGGCGACGAUCCCUAGCUGGCCUGAGAGGAUGACCAGCCACACUGGAACUGAGACACGGUCCAGACUCCUACGGGAGGCAGCAGUGGGGAAUAUUGCACAAUGGGCGCAAGCCUGAUGCAGCCAUGCCGCGUGUAUGAAGAAGGCCUUCGGGUUGUAAAGUACUUUCAGCGAGGAGGCGUUACUCGAAGAAGAAGCACCGGCUAACUCCGUGCCAGCCGCCGCGGUAAUUC
rnacentral:rRNA from 1 species